rnacentral:rRNA from 1 species
UACAGAGGGUGCAAGCGUUGUUCGGAAUUAUUGGGCGUAAAGGGCGCGUAGGCGGUGCGGUAAGUCUGUAGUGAAAUCUCUGGGCUCAACUCAGAGUCUGCUGCAGAAACUGCCGUGCUUGAGUGUGGGAGAGGUGAGUGGAAUUCCCGGUGUAGCGGUGAAAUGCGUAGAUAUCGGGGAGGAACACCUGUGGCGAAAGCGGCUCACUGGACCACAACUGACGCUGAGGCGCGAAAGCUAGGGGAGCAAACAGGG